GAAAGCUUGUAAUGUGCUGUUUUUACAGAGCUAUGUCCAUCUGGGAAAGCAGUCUACAGAUUACUACUGUGUGCAGCAUACUUGGAGCUUGGUUUGGAGCAUUUCCUAUUCCUCUUGAUUGGGAUCGGCCUUGGCAGGUAUGGCCCAUUUCCUGUUCCCUCGGAGCUACCUUUGGCUAUAUGGCUGGUCUGAUUAUUGCACCUCUGUGGAUACACUGGAACCGGAAGCAGCUUACAUACAAAAGCAGAUAACUGGAGCAAAGAGAGACAAGGUAUUUCUUUGUGCAGAUUCCAUACAGACUGUGCAAAAGUUGUUUUUUUAAGAUAGAUAUAUAUAUAUAUAUAUAGUCAAAGCAGAAGACUGUCCAAAUUCAGAUAAGAGUAUUUCAGGCCAAGCAUCUCCACUCAUUAAAAUCACAUAGAUGCCAUUUCAGCAUGGUGCAGUUUUUGCUUCCUCUAGACUUUGUAACCCUGAGAGAUUGUACCUUCCAGUCUGAAUAAAAUAUUUGUAACAGG